AAUGUAAAAUGUAUGUAUAGCAUAAUAAAAUUAAGGAGUGAAAUUGCUCUUGGUAUUUCAUUUCGUUAAUAUUAAAAAAGUAUAAAACUUUCUUUGAUUUCACUGUAGUAUAUUGAUAAAGUUGUAUAUAUCUUAAUAUUCACAAGGUACAACUAUUUUUAUGUCAUUUACAAGCCAGGACGCCAUUAAGUGUAAAUGUGUUUUCAAGCUUUAGUUGGCUCUAAAUAAGUUUUAGAUGGGCAUUUUCUGUCUGUAACCAUAUAAACAAACCAUUUUGUAUAAUUUAGAAUUUACCAACCAUUCUCUGGAUGUAAUUACAACGGAGACAAACAAGCAUACGGCCUGCCUGAUGGUAAACAAUCACCGUAGCCUAUGAAUGCCCGCUACUGCAGAGGUAUAUUACAUGCGCGUUACUGACCCUAAAAUAUAAUCUAAUUUUAUGUUACGACACUUUAAAGUUAAUUUUGAAUACAGCAAUCAAUACUUUCCUCGGUAAAUAGCCUUUGAGUGAGGUAGAUAAAGGAGAAUUUUCUUCAUUGUAAAGCUACCAUAAAUAUCAAGGCUAUAUGUAAUAGUGAUGGGUAGGACAUCAAUUUCAAAUGAGUUUGUAUGAGUACCUCAUUCUCUAAAAUGAGGUGUUACAAUGUCUUACUUCAAAUGAGGAGAGGUACUAGCACUUUUGCAGCAUCGACUAUUCCAUCAACUCCAACGCUGCAAACCAUAUUUAAUGUAAAUACAUAUUUAGGCAUUGCUAAACUUCCUUUUAAAUAUUUAAUUGGAGUGCAAUUCUGGAGGUUUAAAACAGAACUUUAACAACCAUUUAAGAAUCAAACUAAGGAGUUAAAGUACAUACAUCCUAUUGCAACUUAAUUUGAUGCUUUUAUGAAACUUGUUCUAAUUUAGCAGUUUAUUAUUUUUAUUGUUAGAUUAUUCAGUAUCAAUCCUUGCUACUUGAUAUCAUUUUAAGUUUAACAUUCAUAUAUUGAAAUAAAUACUAACCAUAAACUACCAAACAAACAAUUAACAAACUAAGGAGAACAAAUCCAAUAUUUUUUGUACCAUUAUUAUAUAGAUAUUACUAACUUACCACCUCAUAAUUUAUCAGUAAUAAUAGCAUUGUAAUAUGAUAACAAACGAAAGCCUCAAUAACGUUCGCGCGGUAAUGCCACCGGCGUGUAAUAUACACUUGAUUUUUGUAUGCAAAAGACACAAAGAAAGACCCACAGGUAUAUUUUAUCGCGAAAACAAUGUUAAUAUAUUGUUAUUUUGGUAUAAUUAUAAGAAUGGUCACUGAUCACUAUUUAUAAAACACAACUAAAGAUUACGAACAACUUUUUCGAGUUUCUCGUACUAUAAAUAUGUCAAAAUCAUAAAUGAUCGAAAUACUAUACGAAGCACGUUAACAAAAAGUAUUACAAAUUCAAAUCGUUAAAAUGUACAUGGUUAUUUCACCUAUACAAAUUAUAUUUACUUUUUUAUUAAUAAACUAAUGUAAAAUUUCAUAUUUUGUGUACGCCACUAUAUUAUAUUUCAAUAAUUUAAAUAAUAUUUUGGUCUCUUAAACGAUAACUGUUUUUAAGCAAGCUUCGUAAAUGCCCAGUGAGACUUGGUUGGCAUUUCAAUCGCUUAUCAAGUAACCAUUUCACUGUCCAGUCUAAUUGAUUCAGAUUAUACAUGACACCAGCAAUAUGAGUCUUGAGGUCAGGUUAUACUGGUAAGCGCGUUAGUACAAUAAUAGCUAACAAAUAUGGAGGCCUACCGCGAACCACGAAGUUUUGCUUUGCUGUCGCACUUACGUAUGAAAUUACAAGUGCGACAGAGAGAAAAAACUUUCUUCGGUAGGUUCUUUGAUGACUUAGAUUUUUCGCUUUUGACAAGUAACUUAGCAAUGCUAGGAUCAAAAUGGAGUAAUAUGUAUGUAAGCUUGCGGACGCUUACGCUAGUUUUCUUUCGUGUUUCAUUUUUAACGUAUUUUCGAUGAGGUGUUAUUGAAGCACGGCGCGUGUCUGUCUCACUCCCUCUUUUGGUAAAUCUAAUUCAUUGUUUCAUUUUGAAAGGAUUUUUGAGGGAUGUCACAGUGAGGCGAGUGAAUGGUACAAACACUACAAACACAACGCAUUUCUCGGUGGACCUUUUGUCCUUGCAAUAAGGUUUGUAGUUGGGCAGUUGAUAGUGUGAGCGAUAAAUGCGAUGACGUCAAUGACUCAUUUCUUCAUUUGAAUGUCGGCGAGCACCGAGCGCCUCGCGACUCUCUUGCGAGUUGUGAGGAACGCGAGUGAGUUUGAAAGGCUGAGAGUUUUUUUUUUAAAUUUGAAGUGUUUGAAUGGUUUGAGUGGUAAGAGCUGUGUGUGAUGCGCGCGAGUAAAUGAGUAAAAUUAAUUGAGGAGUGAUGUAUGACAUUUAUGCGGUGUGAAGUUCUGCGACAAUUUAGCUAAAUGAGUGGUACAAAUGAGGUGCCUCACGAGUGAGCAACUCAACACUACACAGGAGCCGUCAGAUUUUUGGCGCGAGUCGUAAAUGUGAUGUUUAUUGUUCCGAUGUAGCCCACAAGAUGGCAGAACCUACUAUGCACAAGAAAACACGUGACGUGUGAAUGUACAUGUUUAUGGUUCCGAUUCAGGCCACAAGAUGGCAGACCCUCCAACGCGCACGGUCCCA